CAAAAAUAAAAAAGAAAAAAAUAAAAAUAAAAUUCAAACGAAAGCCAACCACGAAAAACAGAACGCCAUAACCGCCGACGCCACCAAUCUUCCACCGCCACUUGCCGUUUGAUCCGCCGCAUCAUCAUCGCUGUAAUCAUCAGAAGAAUCCGGUCCCGGCGCAUCUGCUUCCUCCUCGGUGUCACCCUUCUUCGCCGGCUUCUUUUUCUUUUUCGCCGCCUUUGGCGCAGGCGCCGGCUCCUCCGCCUCCUCCACCGUACCCUUAAACAACUCUCUCGGCAAUAAAACCUUAUCGAUGGUGUAAAUGGCAAUCGGCUCUUCGUCGACCACCGUUCCGCUUAUUGUCGCCUUCACCACUUUCGUCUUCAAUGUCACAUCGUUGCCGUCGUUUUGUACAGUGAAAUCGUACUUCUUCUUAGCUCCUUCCGUCGCUAGAGUGUUCAUCAGUCCAUUGCUAGAUCUGAGCAUCCCCAUGGAGUUGUAAACCGGAACACCGUGGUAAAGCAACAAGGACGUCUUCUCCGACGCCGUCAAGUUCUUGUAUUUUGGGGCAAACGCCGCAAUAGCGUCGUCUCCAGGACAAAACACGGUGACUCCACCGUCGGCGGAGCUUAAAAACGUUCCGAUUGCUCCUGAGGUUGUUAACAGAUCGUAAAACGCUUGACAACCUUCUCGUUGUAACAAAGAGGUUAAGUUCAGAUCCGGUGCGGCAGUCGGAGCUUCAGCUUCCGGCGACUGUAGAAUCGCGCUGAUUUGGAUCACGGAGAUGUUGUAAGGCAUUUCCAAGAUGGAUUUGACAUAAGUGGUAUCGGUUUGACUUGGGUUGUCUUCAGGAGUGAACCGGACUUUACCACCUUUGAUGUCGGUGAUAUGAACGUAACCGGCGGUUCCUGGAGCUUCACCGGUGGCUUGAUACAUGGUGGCGGUGGAGGUGGAGCCUUUGGUGACUUGGUGGAGCUUUUUGGAGCCGAAGUAGUCGGCGAAGACAUGGAGGGAGAGGACAUUCUUUAUGGUCUGAAUUGAUAGUCCUUUUGAAAGUAAUGAAGACAUGGCGGCAUUGUCGACGGCGCAGACGGUGAUUGUCUGCCGGCGGUUGAUCUCAUUGGCGAGGUGAGUGAUGGUGAGGUAGUGGUUGAAAGUGGAAAAUUCGGGGUGUUUGGCGAGGAUGCGGGUGAUGUUGUGGCCGUGUACGGCGGCGGAGAUAGACAGGAGGAGAAGGAAGGAGAGAGAAAUCGCCGAUGGCGUCUGCAUUGCCGGAGAACAGGUGGAGGUGAAGGAUAA
rnacentral:lncRNA from 1 species